AGGCAGCAGUGGGGAAUAUUGCACAAUGGGCGAAAGCCUGAUGCAGCAACGCCGCGUGAGGGACGACGGCCUUCGGGUUGUAAACCUCUUUUAGUAGGGAAGAAGCGAAAGUGACGGUACCUGCAGAAAAAGCACCGGCUAACUACGUGCCAGCAGCCGCGGUAAUACGUAGGGUGCAAGCGUUGUCCGGAAUUAUUGGGCGUAAAGAGCUCGUAGGCGGUUUGUCGCGUCUGCUGUGAAAUCCGGAGGCUCAACCUCCGGCCUGCAGUGGGUACGGGCAGACUAGAGUGCGGUAGGGGAGAUUGGAAUUCCUGGUGUAGCGGUGGAAUGCGCAGAUAUCAGGAGGAACACCAAUGGCGAAGGCAGAUCUCUGGGCCGUAACUGACGCUGAGGAGCGAAAGCAUGGGGAGCGAACAGGAUUAGAUACCCUGGUAGUCCAUGCCGUAAACGUUGGGAACUAGAUGUGGGGGCCAUUCCACGGUCUCCGUGUCGCAGCUAACGCAUUAAGUUCCCCGCCUGGGGAGUACGGCCGCAAGGCUAAAACUCAAAGGAAUUGACGGGGGCCCGCACAAGCGGCGGAGCAUGCGGAUUAAUUCGAUGCAACGCGAAGAACCUUACCAAGGCUUGACAUAUAGAGGUAACGUGCAGAAAUGUACGCCCCGCAAGGUCUCUAUACAGGUGGUGCAUGGUUGUCGUCAGCUCGUGUCGUGAGAUGUUGGGUUAAGUCCCGCAACGAGCGCAACCC
rnacentral:rRNA from 1 species